CGAGACGUAGCGCAGUGGUAGCGCGUCUGCUUUGGGAGCAGAAGGUCGCGUGUUCAAAUCACGCCGUCUCGA
rnacentral:tRNA from 1 species